AAAGCUAAGUUUUAAGUUCUAAUCUGUUAAAUUAGUCUGCAAUGUUGGUGUAUCUUUGGUGUCUGUA
rnacentral:tRNA from 1 species